rnacentral:rRNA from 1 species
AUUGAACGCUGGCGGCAGGCCUAACACAUGCAAGUCGAACGGUAACAGGAAGCAGCUUGCUGCUUUGCUGACGAGUGGCGGACGGGUGAGUAAUGUCUGGGAAACUGCCUGAUGGAGGGGGAUAACUACUGGAAACGGUAGCUAAUACCGCAUAACGUCGCAAGACCAAAGAGGGGGACCUUCGGGCCUCUUGCCAUCGGAUGUGCCCAGAUGGGAUUAGCUAGUAGGUGGGGUAACGGCUCACCUAGGCGACGAUCCCUAGCUGGUCUGAGAGGAUGACCAGCAACACUGGAACUGAGACACGGUCCAGACCCCGACGGGAGGCAGCAGUGGGGAAUAUUGCACAAUGGGCGCAAGCCUGAUGCAGCCAUGCCGGGUGUAGGAAGAAGGCCUUCGGGUUGUAAAGUACUUUCAGCGGGGAGGAAGGGAGUAAAGUUAAUACCUUUGCUCAUGGACGUUACCCGCAGAAGAAGCACCGGCUAACUCCGUG